UACGUAGGUGGCAAGCGUUAUCCGGAUUUACUGGGUGUAAAGGGCGUGUAGGCGGGAGCGCAAGUCAGGUGUGAAAUUUCGGGGCUCAACCCCGAAACUGCACUUGAAACUGUGUUUCUUGAGUGAUGGAGAGGCAAGCGGAAUUCCGUGUGUAGCGGUGAAAUGCGUAGAUAUACGGAGGAACACCAGUGGCGAAGGCGGCUUGCUGGACAUUAACUGACGCUGAGGCGCGAAAGCGUGGGGAGCAAACAGG
rnacentral:rRNA from 1 species